GAUGAAGAACGCAGCGAAAUGCGAUAACUAAUGUGAAUUGCAGAAUUCCGUGAAUCAUCGAGUCUUUGAACGCACAUUGCGCCCCCUGGUAUUCCGGGGGGCAUGCCUGUCCGAGCGUCAUUACAACCCUCAAGCCCGGCUUGUGUAAUGGGCGGCCGUCUCUCCCCCCGGGGGGAGACGCCCCCGAAACUCAGUGGGGAUGUCGCGAUACCGAAGCCUCAGCUAAUGGGUAAACCACAGCUGCAAUGGCCGCGGCCGGCGUCCGCCUUCCACGGUCCGUCCGCCUAGCGCGGGCGGCAUUCUCAAGGUUGACCUCGGAUCAGGUAGGGAUACCCGCUGAACUUAAGCAUAUCAAUAAGCGGAGGA
rnacentral:misc_RNA from 1 species